GAUGAACGCUGGCGGCGUGCCUAAUACAUGCAAGUCGAGCGAACAGACGAGGAGCUUGCUCCUCUGACGUUAGCGGCGGACGGGUGAGUAACACGUGGAUAACCUACCUAUAAGACUGGGAUAACUUCGGGAAACCGGAGCUAAUACCGGAUAAUAUAUUGAACCGCAUGGUUCAAUAGUGAAAGACGGUUUUGCUGUCACUUAUAGAUGGAUCCGCGCCGCAUUAGCUAGUUGGUAAGGUAACGGCUUACCAAGGCAACGAUGCGUAGCCGACCUGAGAGGGUGAUCGGCCACACUGGAACUGAGACACGGUCCAGAAUCCGACGGGAGGCAGCAGUAGGGAAUCUUCCGCAAUGGGCGAAAGCCUGACGGAGCAACGCCGCGGGAGUGAUGAAGGUCUUCGGAUCGUAAAACUCUGUUAUUAGGGAAGAACAAAUGUGUAAGUAACUAUGCACGUCUUGACGGUACCUAAUCAAAAAGCCACGGCUAACUACGU
rnacentral:rRNA from 1 species